GAAAUGCGAUACGUAAUGUGAAUUGCAGAAUUCAGUGAAUCAUCGAGUCUUUGAACGCACAUUGCGCCCCCUGGUAUUCCGGGGGGCAUGCCUGUCCGAGCGUCAUUGCUGCCCUCAAGCACGGCUUGUGUGUUGGGCCCCCGUCCCCACCCAAGGGGACGGGCCCGAAAGGCAGCGGCGGCACCGUGUCCGGUCCUCGAGCGUAUGGGAAGCAACUUUUUGUCACCCGCUCCUGUAGGUCCGGCCGGCGGCCUGCCCAACCCCAACCUUUUUUUCAACCAGGUUGACCUCGGAUCAGGUAGGGAUACCCGCUGAACUUAAGC
rnacentral:misc_RNA from 1 species